rnacentral:rRNA from 1 species
GACGAACGCUGGCGGCAUGCCUAAUACAUGCAAGUCGAGCGAACAGAUGAAGUGCUUGCACUUCUGACGUUAGCGGCGAACGGGUGAGUAACACGUAAGGAAUCUACCUAUAAGCGGGGGAUAACAUUCGGAAACGGGUGCUAAUACCGCAUAAUAUCUUCUUCCGCAUGGAAGAAGAUUGAAAGGCGGCUCUGCUGUCACUUAUAGAUGAACUUGCGGUGCAUUAGUUAGUUGGUGGGGUAAUGGCCUACCAAGACGAUGAUGCAUAGCCGACCGGGGAGGGGGAUCGGCCACAUUGGGACUGAGACACGGCCCAAACUCCUAAGGGAGGAAGCAGUAGGGAAUCUUCCGCAAUGGGCGAAAGCCUGAGGGAGCAAUGCCGCGUGAGUGAAGAAGGCCUUCGGGUCGUAAAACUCUGUUAUAAGAGAAGAACAAAUUGUAGAGUAACUGCUACAGUCUUGACGGUAUCUUAUCAGAAAGCCACGGCUAACUACGUGCCAGCCGCCGCAGUAA